rnacentral:rRNA from 1 species
GUGAGGAAUAUUGCGCAAUGGAGGCAACUCUGACGCAGCCAUGCCGCGUGCAGGAAGAAGGCGCUACGUGUUGUAAACUGCUUUUAACCGGGAAGAAACCCCAGGACGUGUCCUGGGUUGACGGUACCGGAGGAAUGAGCACCGGCUAACUUCGUGCCAGCAGCCGCGGUAAUACGAAGGGUGCAAGCGUUAUCCGGAUUCAUUGGGUUUAAAGGGUGCGUAGGCGGAGCGUUAAGUCAGUGGUGAAAUCCUGCAGCUUAACUGUAGACUUGCCAUUGAUACUGGCGCUCUUGAGUGCGCUUGAAGUGGGCGGAAUGUGCCGUGUAGCGGUGAAAUGCUUAGAUAUGGCACAGAACACCAAUUGCGAAGGCAGCUCACUAAGGCGAUACUGACGCUGAGGCACGAAAGCGUGGGGAUCGAACAGGAUUAGAAACCCGUGUAGUCC